rnacentral:rRNA from 1 species
UACGUAGGGGGCGAGCGUUAUCCAGAUUUACUGGGCGUAAAGCGCGUGUAGGCGGCUGGUUAGGUGUGAUGUGAAAUCCCCGGGCUCAACCUGGGAAUGGCAGUGGAUACUGGCAAGCUAGAGUGCGGUAGAGGGUAGUGGAAUUCCCGGUGUAGCAGUGAAAUGCGUAGAGAUCGGGAGGAACACCAGUGGCGAAGGCGGCUACCUGGACCAGCACUGACACUGAAGCACGAAAGCGUGGGGAGCAAACAGG